UCCAAACAGCUUAAUGAGCGGAGUGGCUGCUGCUCAUCAAUAUGUCUCUACCCAAGAAAGCAAAAUCAGGGAGUCUUAAGCAAAAGGAAAAGGCAGAAAGGGACAGAAAGUAAUGAGAGGGAAGACAACUCCUCACUUCUCUUCUUUCAAAAGAAAGUCUCAGCGCUUCUUGACGAGCCCCUCUGACUGAACCUGGUGAAGCGCUGUGGUCCUCCUAAAACACAAGGAUGCAACUGUUUGGAUGCAUCUUUUUUCCGAUCGACAGCUACAGCGAAGAAAAGAAAAAAAUCGGAUCUGAAGCGAUGACAAAACCGUUCAAAGCCCGAAGACGACGGGGGAAGGGGAGCAGCAGCAGUUGUACGGGAUAAGCAGAAAUGAUAAAGUAGCCGAGGAGAAGGAGAAGGAGAAGUGACCAAUUGGGUGGCAGUACACCCCAUCCACCACGUUCCUGUCAUCGUAUGAGCAGCACCUGUCAUGGCUCGGACCGCUACCUGGUGACAAAGAAGACGACCUCUCUGCAGCUCCUGUGUCCUCUGUCCUGGUCUCUGAGUGUCUGUCCCAGGGAGAGAUGAGGGUGUCCUGCUCCUCUGAGGGAGGGGACAGUCCUCAGUACAGCUGGACUCCAUAUGGACACACACUGACAGACGCUCAGCUCCUCUGGAAAUAGACAGUAACAACAUCACUCUGAGACAAGACGUCUCAGGACAACUGGUCUGCUCGGCCAGCAACCACGUCAGUCGGAUGUCUACCUGUGGCUUCAGAUUCACUGACUGCAGCUUAUCCAGUGGGAUGCACUUAUUACAGAGAGUGCUUGUAACCAGCCAAACCCAGUGUACUGAUCCAACAACAACCCCAACCACAAUCACAGUAACAGAAGUGUCCUCUGUGGAUCAGUCCCUGCUCAUACUUGGGGUUAGGCUUAGGGUGAGAAAGCUGAAGGCUCUGCCGUCCCUGAAGGUGGUUAGGGUGUCCAAAUUACCUGAAUUCACCCAAUUACAAUAUUACAGUAAUGUAACUUGAUUACAUGACUUGAUGACAUAUCAAUAAAAAAGCACCUUUUUUUUCAUUGACAGCUUAUCUGUUAAUAUCUAUUUUAUUAUUUUUUUUUAUGACAAGAGAGAUCACAGGAAACAGGAUGCAGUAAAGAAUCUCAGACCAGGACUCAAACCCCCGGUGAAAGCUGAGACUCUGUCCACUGGAUGCCUGCUCUGCCAGCUGAGCUAAAGAGCAUUUCUCAAUCCUGCACAAAAUAAGUCCCGCCCACAGAUUUUCUGAGAAUGCAGGUGGUGCACGCCCAAAUGGCCGGUCUCUCUCGUUUCCCGCGCGAAGUUAGCGCAUUUCCCUCCAAAAGUGUAGGUGCCUAUAUUAAUGCCUAAGGGAUUUUCACUCUGGUCUGAACGGCUCUUCUUUGAGGACACGAAUACAGUACUCGUCAUCGGUGACUGAGGAGACCAGCCAAACGCUGCUGUCAGUAGUCACUGUUCUUGAUGAUCCAAGCAGCCCCUUGAUCUUGAGUUCAAGACCGCUGAAUGGAGACAAGGUGAAAGACAAGGGAAAACAAGAUACAGUAUUCAACAACAUACUGACAUUAAUUCUUCAAAUGCACUUUUCAGAGAGUACAUGGUAUAUAAGUGUCCAUCGUAUGUAUCCAUGUAGACCCACGUCAUCUUUUCUGUGUUAAGCACUUCAGACUUUCUUUUCUUUGAGAUACGGACUUCAGCUGGCAGCUCAGACGCAUCGUUGAAAUGGUUGAUGUGGGGUAGACCUUCAGCCAGAAUCUUCCACCUAAGAAGAACAAACGAGUAAACCAGCUCCACAAGCUCGCCCCUGGAGAUCCACCUGUAACAGGGGAAAAGAAGGACUUCUCCCUCCGGAGUCGUCACCACUAUUUUGGAGCAGUACCACUCGUCAUCUUUGCGAACCAGGAAGGGAUCCUUCUCCACCUUGA